rnacentral:rRNA from 1 species
CAAUAGCGUAUAUUAAAGUUGUUGCAGUUAAAAAGCUCGUAGUUGGAUUUGUGGCGUACGGUGUGUUCCGGGCACUUGUUGUCUGAGUAACCUGCUGUUGCCAUCCUUGGGUGGAACCUGUGUGGCAUUAGGUUGUCGUGCAGGGGAUGCCCAUCAUUUACUGUGAAAAAAUUAGAGUGUUCAAAGCAGGCUUAUGCCGUUGAAUAUAUUAGCAUGGAAUAAUGAGAUAGGACUUUUUUGUUAUUUUGUUGGUUUGCGCAAAGAGGUAAUGAUUAAUAGGGACAGUUGGGGGUAUUCGUAUUCCAUUGUCAGAGGUGAAAUUCUUGGAUUUUUGGAAGACGAACUACUGCGAAAGCAUUUACCAAGGAUGUUUUCAUUAA